GAUGAACGCUGGCGGCGUGCUUAACACAUGCAAGUCGAACGAAGCACUUUGAUCGAUUUCUUCGGAUUGAAAUUUUAGUGACUGAGUGGCGGACGGGUGAGUAACGCGUGGGUAACCUGCCUCACACAGGGGGAUAACAGUUGGAAACGGCUGCUAAUACCGCAUAAGCGCACAGUACCGCAUGGUACAGUGUGAAAAACUCCGGUGGUGUGAGAUGGACCCGCGUCUGAUUAGCUAGUUGGCAGGGCAGCGGCCUACCAAGGCGACGAUCAGUAGCCGACCUGAGAGGGUGACCGGCCACAUUGGGACUGAGACACGGCCCAAACUCCUACGGGAGGCAGCAGUGGGGAAUAUUGCACAAUGGGGGAAACCCUGAUGCAGCGACGCCGCGUGAGCGAAGAAGUAUUUCGGUAUGUAAAGCUCUAUCAGCAGGGAAGAAGAAAUGACGGUACCUGACUAAGAAGCACCGGCUAAAUACGUGCCAGCAGCCGCGGUAAUACGUAUGGUGCAAGCGUUAUCCGGAUUUACUGGGUGUAAAGGGAGCGCAGGCGGAAGGCUAAGUCUGAUGUGAAAGCCCGGGGCUCAACCCCGGUACUGCAUUGGAAACUGGUCAUCUAGAGUGUCGGAGGGGUAAGUGGAAUUCCUAGUGUAGCGGUGAAAUGCGUAGAUAUUAGGAGGAACACCAGUGGCGAAGGCGGCUUACUGGACGAUAACUGACGCUGAGGCUCGAAAGCGUGGGGGAGCAAACAGGAUUAGAUA
rnacentral:rRNA from 1 species